GAGCAGCCCGGACCCAAGCCCAACCCGGAACGUUCCGUCGCGCGGGUAGGAUGAGGCGAGUGUGACCCCGCAGCCCCGGCAGGGGACCGAGCUGGCUGAGGGCAGAGGAAGCGCCUCCGCACAGCCCGCGUCCGCUGGGCCAAAAGCCCGGCGCCCCCCUGCAGGCGGGAACGGUUACCCCCGCGCUGCGCUCGCCUUCCGGCCUCCUUCCCACCUCCCGGGGCGUUGCCCCGGGCAACGGUGCCUACGGACGGCGGCGUGAAACGCACCUACCUAGAACCUGACAAGCAGAAGCCCCUCAGACCCGGGAGCCAGUCGCCACCCGGCGUCACGGGGACUGCUCCAGCCAAUAGGCGCCACCGUUGCGAGGCUCGACAGCCAAUCCCGCUACACUCCGGUCUCCGGGCACCCCGAGAGUUUAGCCAAUGAGAAGGAGCAAGGGGCGGGCGCUGCCACCGGCCCCAACCCCCUCUUCUACAACCUCCCAGGAGGCGGGCGCGGCCCAUUGGCUCGGACCCGCGAGGGGCGGAGCUCAGCGAGUGGGCGGAGGCUGGAGUUGCGGGCGUGAGGAGGCGUGGGCCGUGGCCACCGCCCUGCGUGCUGUUUCCCGUCGAAGCUUGUUCUUGCGGUCUCUCGCGUAGAAGAUCCCGCUUCUCCGAGCCCAGCCGUCGGCCUGAGCGGUGGGAUGGGCGCGGAGACCGAGGGAGCCUGACAGGAAACUCCGGAGACUCGCGGGGCCAAAGCCGGGAAGUAGCCUGUCCGGGUGAUAAGCUGAGGCCGCCCGGAAGGGUCAGCCCCGCGGCCCUGCCGGAAAGGAGGUGUGACGAAACGUGGAGCGCCCGCGGGGGACCGGCGAGGGCCGGCUCUCCUUCCCACCCCGAGCUGGCUGUGCAGCGAACUCUACCUUCCCGCGCUCUGCUUGCGUGUGCUGUAACGUGGAUUCCUUUAAAUCGGCUUUGCGUUUCUGCGGUGUGCUCAGAACUGCCUUUCCCGCUCCUGUGCCUGCAGUGUCAGACGCUAACGAGCUGACAUUCUCUGGAAACAUGAGGAUGCUCUGCAAAGAGAGCCGCGAGUCCUGGGAGCGGUCCCCUCGAAAGUACUUACCUCUAGGAAAGUCUAGAAAGCGAGGGCCUAAACUGAUGUGUUCUUCCAGUGAGGGCUGUUUUCCGAAGCGCUCCUUUGCCAAUUUGGUACAAAACAGGAGUAAGGUGGACCUGAACAGAUCUUAGUAGGUGAUCUGGAGCUCUGUGAUAGGUGUUCAUGGAGCGUCACUCUCGGGAUUGCUGUAGCACGCUUUUUAAGGCAGUGUCCUCUUGUACGUGAGCUCAGCCACAUUCACAUUCGUCGCCUGCAACAAGUCUGACAGCUCCAUUUCCCCUCCCACCCUUAAACCUUUGAGUUAGAUUAGAGCCAAAGAAGAAUUAAUACUUUUUAAAAUUCUAAAUGGUUAUUCACUUAAGUCAGUUUCAAAGACCAAGAAACCAAAACAUACUUUAAGGACACAGAUAUCUUACAGUUGAAAAUGGAUGAGAGUCUCUCCCCCUUUUUCUCAGAAAACAAUUAUAAAGUUCUCUUGUCAGAUUUAUGGUCCAGGAAUAUCUUUUUCAAGAACGUGGAAUGCACAAGAGUUGUGAAUCGUUGUUAGAGCACUUGAAACCUUAGAUGAACCUCAGCCAGGCUAUGGGAAGCCACUAACAAACCUGGGAGUCGGUGUUUUUCUAAGUUCACAGAUAGCAGAAGUUCACCUUAUCACCCAGUUUCUGAGAAAUUCUAGAACUCCAAAUUUUGAAACUACCUCAGGCAUAAGGAUUGCCUUUUCUCUUAGCUAACUCUGUUGGCCACCCCAACAAGUCCACCAUAGAUGUGACAAACAGAGCCAAGUAGUCUUACCUGAGGACUAGUUAUUGUUCAAUAUGAAAAUCUAAAUAAUGGGUUGUAUCUACUCAUCUAUAAAGAAGGGUGAAAUUCAUGUCUUUGCAGUUUCUUAGGUAAUGCCUGAGACAUAUAUGCACAUUCUGUUUUAAUGCCUAUUUAACAAUAAAAGUGUCUGACUUCUCUAACACUGCCUUAUCUAGGAACUCUAAACUUCGUUUUUAAUAGAAUCAAAAAUGAUAAUUUUGUUUGUAUUUUAUAGUUCUGUAAUUAAAUGCAUAAAUAGCCUAUCAAAUGCAAGUUAGUUUUCAAUAAGCAGUAAAUGUUAUAUGUAUCAAUAUGGGUGAAAUAAAUAAAAUAAAACUUUGUGCUUGUAUUAAAUGGUUGGGAAAACCAUGACUUUGGCAUUGCUUUACCAAGCAUACCUUUAUCAAGAACCUUAGGCUUCCUUUCUUU
rnacentral:lncRNA from 1 species